GUUACAUCUGCUGACCUGAAACCAGCUUUGGCAAAAGCAUUAAAUAAAUACUACAGCCUGUACGAGAUCAUUUCAAAAAUGAUGCUAAUGCCCAGGAUCUGCUGAAACGUGUUAAGGGUUACAGAGUUACUAGGUGAUGCAGAGGAUGUUCACUUGCCCUGUCUUACCAGGGAUUAUUAAAAUUGUUUACAA